GUGGACAAAGGAGACCCUAAGAAGCUGAGAGGCAAAAUGUUAUCAUGCAUUCUUUGUGCAAGCUUGCCUGGAGGAGCAGAAGAAGAACCCAGACGCUUCAGUCAGAUUCUCAGAGUUUACUAAGAAGUGAUCAGAGAUGCAGAAGUCCAUAUCUGCUAAAGGGAAAGGAAAAUCUGAAGACAUGCCAAAGGCAGACAAGUCCUGUUAUAAAAGAGAAAUGAAGGGAGAGAGAAAUGAAAACCUAUCUUCCUCCUAAGGGAGAAACAAAUAAAAACUUCAGGAAUUUCAGUGUGCACAAGAUGAUUCCUCAGGCAUUUUUCUUAUUCUAUUCCAUCACCCCAGAGUCAAAGGAAAACACCUGGACUAUCCUUUGGGGAUGUUGCAAAGAAGCUUGGAGAGAAGUGGUAAUAAUACUGCUGCAGAUAACAAGCAGCCUUAGGAAAAGAAGGCUGAGAAGCUGAAGGAAAAAUACAAAAAGGAAAUUACUGCAUACCAAGCUAAAGGAAAGCCUGCCAAAAAGGGAGUCAUCAAGGCUGAAGAAAGUAAGAAAAUAGAAGGAAGAUGAAGAGGAGGAGGAAGAAGAUAGAAGAUGAAAAUGAUGAUGAAU
rnacentral:lncRNA from 10 species